UACAGAGGUCCCGAGCGUUGUUCGGAUUCAUUGGGCGUAAAGGGCGCGUAGGCGGCGCGAUAAGUUGGGCGUGAAAGGCCCGGGCUCAACCCGGGGACUGCGCUUGAUACUGUCGCGCUGUGAGUCCGGGAGAGGAUGGCGGAAUUCCCAGUGUAGAGGUGAAAUUCGUAGAUAUCGGGAGGAACACCAGUGGCGAAGGCGGCGAUCUGGGAAGAUACUGACGCUGAGGUGCGAAAGCGUGGGGAGCAAACAGG
rnacentral:rRNA from 1 species